rnacentral:rRNA from 1 species
CCUACGGGAGGCAGCAGUGGGGAAUAUUGCACAAUGGGCGCAAGCCUGAUGCAGCCAUGCCGCGUGUGUGAAGAAGGCCUUCGGGUUGUAAAGCACUUUCAGCGGGGAGGAAGGCGGUGAGGUUAAUAACCUCAUCGAUUGACGUUACCCGCAGAAGAAGCACCGGCUAACUCCGUGCCAGCAGCCGCGGUAAUACGGAGGGUGCAAGCGUUAAUCGGAAUUACUGGGCGUAAAGCGCACGCAGGCGGUCUGUCAAGUCGGAUGUGAAAUCCCCGGGCUCAACCUGGGAACUGCAUUCGAAACUGGCAGGCUAGAGUCUUGUAGAGGGGGGUAGAAUUCCGGGUGUAGCGGUGAAAUGCGUAGAGAGCUGGAGGAAUACCGGUGGCGAAGGCGGCCCCCUGGACAAAGACUGACGCUCAGGUGCGAAAGCGUGGGGAGCAAACAGGAUUAGAUACCCCAGUAGUC